rnacentral:rRNA from 1 species
CCUACGGGUGGCUGCAGUCGAGAAUCAUUCACAAUGGGGGAAACCCUGAUGGUGCGACGCCGCGUGGGGGAAUGAAGUCCUUCGGAUUGUAAACCCCUGUCAUGUGGGAGCAAAUUAAAAAGAUAGUACCACACUAGGUAGAGACGGCUAACUCUGUGCCAGCAGCCGCGGUAAUACAAAGGUCUCAAGCGGUGUUCGGAAUCACUGGUCGUAAAGCGUGCGUAGGCUGUUUCGUAAGUCGUGUGUGAAAGGCGCGGGCUCAACCCGCGGACGGCACAUGAUACUGGGAGACUAGAGUAAGGGAGGGGGAACCGGAAUUCUCGGUGUAGCAGUGAAAUGCGUAGAUAUCGGGAGGAACACUCGUGGCGAAGGCGAGUUCCUGGACAUUAACUGACGCUGAGGCACGAAGGCCAGGGGAGCGAAAGGGAUUAGAUACCCGAGUAGUC